rnacentral:tRNA from 1 species
GGAAUUGUGGCUCAGUGGCAGAGCACUUGCCUUAUUUGUAUGAGGCACUGAGUUCAAUCCUCAGAACCA